rnacentral:rRNA from 1 species
AACGAACGCUGGCGGCAUGCCUAACACAUGCAAGUCGAACGGGACCUUCGGGUCUAGUGGCGCACGGGUGCGUAACGCGUGGGAAUCUACCCUUGGGUUCGGAAUAACAGUUAGAAAUGACUGAUAAUACCGGAUGAUGACGUAAGUCCAAAGAUUUAUCGCCCAAGGAUGAGCCCGCGUAAGAUUAGCUUGUUGGUGGGGUAAUGGCCUACCAAGGCGACGAUCUUUAGCUGGUCUGAGAGGAUGAUCAGCCACACUGGGACUGAGACACGGCCCAGACUCCUACGGGAGGGAGCAGUGGGGAAUAUGGGACAAUGGGCGAAAGCCUGAUCCAGCAAUGCCGCAUGAGUGAUGAAGGCCUUAGGGUUGUAAAGCUCUUUCAGGUGGGAAGAUAAUGACUGUGCCACCAGAAGAAGCCCCGGCUAACUCCGUGCCAGCAGCCGCCGUAA